rfam:Dipodomys ordii contig_17729, whole genome shotgun sequence.
GGUGGCUCAGUGAUAGAGUACUUGCCUCAAAUGCAUGAGGCUCUGGGUUCGAUUCCUCAGCACCA